rnacentral:rRNA from 1 species
UGAACCGGCUAGCCCGGGGAGCUUUGGUGGGUGGCACAGACCGAGGGGGUAGCGACUGUUUACCAAAAACACAGGUGCAUGCGAAGGCGAAAGCCGCUGUAUAUGCACUGACGCCUGCCCGGUGCCGGAAGGUUAAGAGGAUCCGUCAAUCCCCUUCGGGGGACGAAGCGGUGAAUUCAAGCCCCGGUAAACGGCGGUGGUAACAAUAACCAUCCUAAGGUAGCGAAAAUUCCUUGUCGGGUAAGUUCCGACCUGCACGAAUGGCGUAACGACUUCCCCACUGUCUCGACCAGGAGCUCGGCGAAAUUGCAGUACGAGUAAAGAUGCUCGUUAAGCGCAGAAGGACGAAAAGACCCCGGGACCUUUACUAUACCUUGGUAUUGGCGUUAGGCGCGGAUUGUGUAGCAUAGGCGG